AUUGAACGCUGGCGGCAGGCCUAACACAUGCAAGUCGAACGGUAACAGGAAGCAGCUUGCUGCUUCGCUGACGAGUGGCGGACGGGUGAGUAAUGUCUGGGAAGCUGCCUGAUGGAGGGGGAUAACUACUGGAAACGGUAGCUAAUACCGCAUAAUGUCGCAAGACCAAAGAGGGGGACCUUCGGGCCUCUUGCCAUCGGAUGUGCCCAGAUGGGAUUAGCUUGUUGGUGGGGUAACGGCUCACCAAGGCGACGAUCCCUAGCUGGUCUGAGAGGAUGACCAGCCACACUGGAACUGAGACACGGUCCAGACUCCUACGGGAGGCAGCAGUGGGGAAUAUUGCACAGUGGGCGCAAGCCUGAUGCAGCCAUGCCGCGUGUAUGAAGAAGGCCUUCGGGUUGUAAAGUACUUUCAGCGGGGAGGAAGGGAGUAAAGUUAAUACCUUUGCUCAUUGACGUUACCCGCAGAAGAAGCACCGGCUAACUCCGUG
rnacentral:rRNA from 1 species